rnacentral:misc_RNA from 1 species
GAAAUGCGAUACGUAAUGUGAAUUGCAGAAUUCAGUGAAUCAUCGAAUCUUUGAACGCAAAUUGCGCUUCAUGGCAACGUGGAGCAUACCUGGUUGAGUAUCAGUAACCCACCUCAUCCAAAUUUCUUGGAUGGAUAUGAGGCGUCCUAGCUAUUUUUUUAGCUAAGUCCCUUUAAGACUCGAGAUGUGCGCCAUAUGCUUAUGUCGUACAAAUGAUGUGGUAAUUGUAUCUAACAAAACUUCAUCAUUUGACAUAUAGCGCUGUGCCUACAUUUCCCUCUCCUCGGAGAGAACCUUGGACUGCACUUGUGUGGUCCUUGAAUCCUUGAUCUCAACUCAGGUAAGAUUACCCGCUGAACUUAA